rnacentral:rRNA from 1 species
GACGAGCGCUGGCGGCGUGCUUAACACAUGCAAGUCGAACGGUAAGGCCCUUCGGGGUACACGAGUGGCGAACGGGUGAGUAACACGUGGGUGAUCUGCCCUGCACUUCGGGAUAAGCCUGGGAAACUGGGUCUAAUACCGGAUAGGACCACUGCCUGCAUGGGUGGUGGUGGAAAGCUUUUGCGGUGUGGGAUGGGCCCGCGGCCUAUCAGCGUGUUGGUGGGGUGAUGGCCUACCAAGGCGACGACGGGUAGCCGGCCUGAGAGGGUGACCGGCCACACUGGGACUGAGAUACGGCCCAGACUCCUACGGGAGGCAGCAGUGGGGAAUAUUGCACAAUGGGCGCAAGCCUGAUGCAGCGACGCCGCGUGAGGGAUGACGGCUUUCGGGUUGUAAACCUCUUUCAGCACCGACGAAGCGCAAGUGACGGUAGGUGCAGAAGAAGGACCGGCCAACUACGUGCCAGCCGCCGCAGUAA